CCCUUAGAUGUUCUGGGCCGCACGCGCGCUACACUGAUGCAUGCAACGAGUUCUAUCCUUGGCCGGAAGGCCUGGGUAAUCUGUGAACGUGCAUCGUGAUAGGGAUAGAUUAUUGCAAUUAUUAAUCUUGAACGAGGAAUUCCUAGUAAACGCAAGUCAUCAGCUUGCAUUGAUUACGUCCCUGCCCUUUGUACACACCGCCCGUCGCACCUACCGAUCGAAGGUAAUGAUGAGCCCUCAGGAUUGUGGCCUCGUCGCGUCAGCGUCUUGGCUGCGAGAAUCUGUGCAAAUCCCUACCUUUAGAGGAAGGUGAANUCGUAACA
rnacentral:rRNA from 1 species